rnacentral:rRNA from 1 species
CCCUUAGACGUUCUGGGCCGCACGCGCGCUACACUGACGGAGCCAGCGAGUAUAAACCUUGGCCGAGAGGUCUGGGAAAUCUUGUGAAACUCCGUCGUGCUGGGGAUAGAGCAUUGUAAUUAUUGCUCUUCAACGAGGAAUUCCUAGUAAGCGCAAGUCAUCAGCUUGCGUUGAUUACGUCCCUGCCCUUUGUACACACCGCCCGUCGCUACUACCGAUUGAAUGGCUUAGUGAGGCUUCCGGAUUGGUUUAGAGAAGGGGGCAACUCCAUCUUGGAACCGAGAAGCUAGUCAAACUUGGUCAUUUAGAGGAAGUAAAAGUCGUAACAA